GUUGCAUAAUUGGGUAAUUGAAGAGCACAUGACAUUCUAGUGCGUGUGGCAAUUGCACCCCGGUGCUUGAUCCAAUAAUUUUCGCUAUGUCUUGCCAGAAGUUUGCGAGCAGCUCCACCAUAUGUGUGCCAUAGUUCCCUCUUCUGAGAAACCUCUCUAACAUUUGUUGGUUUUAGUUGGACUGAUGUGUGCGGGUGAGGACAAAAGUACCACCGGUAAAGAAGCUUUUUGACCAGUUCGAUAUGUGAGGGAGAGAGUGUAAGACUCUGAGGUCUCAUAAUCAUCUGUUCCCAGGUAUCCUAG